UUAUUCAGAUGUUAUUGUGUGUUAUUAUUAAUGUGUUAUUGUGUUAUUAUUACAUCAGGACUCAGGGAUGCUUCUCGAUCAAUGUGGGUGUUCGAUUUGUAAAUAGAUAUUUGUAGAACAACACUUUUUUCCGAAUGGCAAGUCAUGAAAGAUGGCCUGGUGUGUGGGGCUUCGCACCUCUCAGGCAAUCCGGGCAGUCAUGUUAUUAUUCGGAGGAUGGAUUGGAAGAUGAUAAAGUGUUUUUUGGUAUCCCAUUAAGAAGGAAUUAGCUUCCGUUUCAACGAACAUAUAUUUGGGAUUUUAAAUCUCAUCAUUCCAGGGAUUUAACAGUUUUCUGGUUUUAAUCCUCUCUAAAUUUACUAAAUCUGGCUUCGCAGGGUUUGUUAAAUUCAGCCAUCCAGUGCUGCCAUUAAACAUUGGGAACCAUAUGAAGGUUAAAUGCAUAAGAAUUCAGUGGUUUGUACGUAACUCUUUUUUAAUCUUAUUUUUUAGAUUCCCGCUCUUGUUCUUCAUCGAGGGAAGUGAUGGCAAAUCAUCGAUGGACCUUGAAGAAUUUAAUAUGGAAAUUUUUUUUGUUCUCAAGCUAUGGUGGAUGGCAUGGGGCGAAGCUUCUCAGGCAGACUAAAUAGACAGUAAGAAUGCCAUUAAAUAAUCGGAACGUGAAGUUUAAAUACAUAAGAGUUCUGUGGCAACACCUGCAGUUCAUGUUAUGAUUCGGAGGAUGGAUUGGAAGAUAAAGGGUUGUUUGGUAUUCCAUUAAGCAGGAAUUAGCUUGUUUGUGAUUUUAAAUGUUAUCAUUUCUAGGAUUUAACAGUUUUUAGGUUGUAAUCCUGUUGAAAUUUACCAAAUCCGAGUUCACCUAAUUUUCUAAAAUCUACCAUGCUGGACUGCCAGGAAAGAACCGUAAGAAAGUUGAAUGUAUAAGAGAUCAGUGGUAUGUAUGUUAAACUUUCUAUUAUUUUAAUUUUAUUGUCAUAUUCUUGUUCUACAAUGAGGGAAGUGAUGGCGAAUGAUCGUUUGACCUUGAGCUUAAGCUGGAAGUUUUCUUUAUUCUCAAAGCUAUUGAGGAAUUCAUCCGGGGAAGCUUCUCUGUUAGCUUUUAUAUACAUGCUAGGGUGCCAUUAAAUAAGGUGAACCAUGAGAUGUGUAAAUACAUUAUAAUUCUUAGGUAUGUAUGUAAAUUUUCCGUAUUUAAUUUUUAUUUUGAGAUCAUGUUUCUUGCUUUUUGUUGAGGGAAAUGAUGAUGAAUCAUUCAUUAAUAUUGAACCAAGGAUGGAAUUU